CCCUUCCUAGUGCUCAGAAUGCUUAAUCUUUGUCCAGGUAUGAGUGUCAAUGAGUAGUUGUUCGGCCUUUCUUACAGAUAAUUAACCUGACAGAAGCCAGACUCAGUCAGGGGCGCAAUGUUCUCAUCUUCAAGUCAGGCGGAUUAAAAAAACAGAGAGAGCAGGUUGCACGCAUUAUGUUUCCAGGACAGGCGCAUACAAACUGGGAGUCGUGCAGCCAUUUGCAACCCCACCUCCCCAGAAACCUACAAACACAAGUGGUUAAAACAGGGAGGGGGGAAUUAUACAACGACGCCAGGUCCAAUUAAGCUGCCUGUGAAAAAGGUCUGGAAGAAUUCAGAAAAGGAGAACAAGCCACCCUAGAAGCCCCAUUUCACACUUUGGGAAGCCCUUGUGGCACAUGGUUGUCUGCCUUUGAGUCAUUAGCAGAGCAAAUUCUCUGGCUUUUUGCUAGGGGGUGCUGUGCUACUAAUGGUAAUGGCAUCUGUGACUAUUCACAACUCCACAGCUGAUAAUUGCUUUUUCAAAAUAGAAUUUGCAAGCAUUCCAGGCUGUGUUACCCUGAGAAAUCUGGUACCCAUAUUAUGCAUUUACGCUAAGUGCUCCAUCCUACAGCAUUUACUGCAGCCACUCAAAUACUAUAAAGGCAGAAUGUAUAAUUAUUUGAUGUGGUAUCCUCCUUCUCUGCACCAAGAUGUCAUUAUGCAUCCAUUAGAUCCCCUCUGCUUUACUUCUUUCUGUUUUGGCUAUGUGUCAGCCUUAUACCGUAGAAGAAAAGAUGCUCUUAUUUACUUUCAAUGCCUGUUUACAUUUAGUCUGCUCUUCGACUGCAAAGCUACAGUAUGGGGAGUUACAAAGAAUAUUUUCACAGGUGAAACAAAAUCACUAACAUGAAUUUCAGGUAUCCCUGCGAUGACAUCACAAGCCCUCUGCAGGGUGAAUAUUUAUAUUCUGCAGUAUAUCCGGUUUAUUUUUUUAGAUAAUGAUGGGCCACCCCUGGGUGGUGGGUGGGGAGUAGUCUGAAUGCUUUCAUUUCUGAUCACAGCACAAAUCCAUUGGUUCAAGACCCACCCAGUCGCAAAGAGCAUAGUGCUCAAGCACUGCCAUUGCGCCUUCUGCUUCAGCACAAUAUAUUCCAGCCUCAUGUUUACAGUAUUUUCUUUCCACAUAGUGGAUUAGAGCAAUCUCCCUCUAAUGCAGACAAAUCUUUCUCCAGGGAAGCCAGGCCUGUGAACAGAAUUGCGUUCUCUCCACAUUUUGCAACACAUAUGCAUCUCACCAAGGUAGGUUUCUUCUGAGAGUCACCCAGCUAUUCAUAAAUCAUAGAGGCACAAACAGCUCCAUCGUAGGCAUAGAAGUUUUGAUACAAGCACUUGAAAGUCCAGUAUCUAUGGAAAGUAUAUCUGAGAUGUGUGGGCUUGAAGACUCAGAGUUAAUUUGCCAGAGAAUCCAGACUUUGGUUAUCCCACUACAGUGACUCAGAUGGAGGUUAAACGUGUAAUGGGCCGUGAUUAAACAGUCUACACCCAAAUCUUAGGUCUCUGCACUUCGGGCUGUUUCAUGCUUGCUAACCCCUUUAGUCAACCUGGCAUGAAUGUUCACUUUAAUCCGGAAAAAUGCAAGAAGAUUUUACAUGGCCAAUGUGCAGGCCAGAGUCAGUUACCCGGCUACAGAGAUAACAAAACUUUAUCCAACGCUGGUGUAGCUUUGAAAGAUAAUGGCAAGAAGUUUCAACGUUGCUAGAAGAAACAAUUUCUUUCUCAUUGCAAGCUAGUCAUGUUUUAACACAUACAUAAAUGGCUGGAUAUAAGGACUCCAAGCUUAUUCAACUUAACAAAUUAACUUGUUCUUUCAAGACUUAUUUCUAAUUGGUUCAAAAUUUAGAAAUAAUGACAUUGAUGAGAUUCUCACCAGCCCACGUAUUUCAGAUCCUAAUGAAAUCAAAAGCACAUUAGCAAGCAAAUUUUGAGCCCCAAACUUGCUUAUUUUAGCUCAAACUCAUCAUGUUUAGAUUCACUGGGCAUUGCAAGUGAUACAUGUAGAGGUUUUGGUGUGCAAAUGAAGUUCCCCCAGACACAAACUUUUCCGUAUUAAUGUAGAUGGGAGGAGGCUGCCUUGCAUGCGCAAUCUUCUACUGAAAUCAGUGGAGUAGACCUGUUGGUAUAGCAGAAAGUAGACAGCAAUCACAUUGGCAUCUGCUUCUCAGUGCUAGCUCUAUGAAAGGCUGGCCAGGUGAGGUUAAAGUUCUGGUAGCUCAAUAGGGGGCGUCUUGACCAGGUAUUAAUAGAGAGAGAGAGUGCCCUGUCUUUGAAAAAGUAUGAGUUCCCUCUCUGAACACAGCUAUUCUGUUUAGGAUGAAGAAGCAUCUCUCCUAGCAACAGUCUUUUCCAUAAGAUUAAAUCACUAGAAUUGUAGCAAUCUGUCAUUCUCUUUAUUGGGAAUGAGAGCCUUGUCCCGUAUCUUUAAACUAUGGCCUUAAAGCUAGUGAUAUUCUGUUCUUAGAAUGAUGGUAGUUACAGGAGCACUUUAAAUAGGCCCAUGUCCCAGCUCCUAAAUCCAUUCUAGCACAAGCUAGUGUUUCAUCACUCAGCUUAAAGCUUGGUUCCUGAAAACCCGCUAAUUGGUGAACAAACCCUGAUGCAUUUACCCACAACCGGCCUCUCAAAAACAACAUUUCAGACAUUAAUGGCCCUCAUGCUAUCAAUUGGCAGUAUAUCAGUGGAGGCACCGGGUUCAUGAUGGAUUGCAAACUGAACAUAAAUGAGUUAGGAAAUGCAGCAGCAUAAUCUAAUCAAGUGGAAGACACAAUUAGAUUCCCAUUACAUUCAAGACUUUGGAUUCAGGCCUGCAGUUCUGAGACGGAGGACUACAAGCAGCAGCUCCUCAUUAUGGGUUUGAAAUGGCCUCACUCCACAAAUUACGAAACAAAUUUGAGUUCUGGGGGCUGGAGAGCAAGAUGCCCUGCUCUCAAUGGGAGAAACACAGAGAUGCACUAUAAGGAGUGGGACUUUGGAAUUUUUCAUUUUUUUAAUGACCCAGAAAUCAACUAUUUGAUUUAGUUGGGGAAUUGGGGAGACAGUUAGUGGGGAAUAGCUGUGUUGUCUAUUGAACCAUGACUUUGGGCUUCACACAGGUGUUGGUAACUGCCAUGCUCUGACUCAGAGCCAAACACUCACCUCUUGAAUGAAGAACUGACCUUCCAUUGACUGAUGACUGAGCAGAG